rnacentral:rRNA from 1 species
UACGUAGGGGGCAAGCGUUGUUCGGAAUUACUGGGCGUAAAGGGCGCGUAGGCGGCAUGGCAAGUCGGGAGUGAAAGGCCUGGGCUCAACCGAGGAACUGCUUUCGAGACUGCCAAGCUAGAGUGCGGAAGGGGCAUCUGGAAUUCCCAGUGUAGCGGUGAAAUGCGUAGAUAUUGGGAAGAACACCUGAGGCGAAGGCGACCACCUGGACUGAUACUGACACUGAGGUGCGAAAGCGUGGGGAGCAAACAGG